AUGGAAGUGAUUAUUUCCCCAGAUGAUCAACUCUGAAAUUACUGAGCUCUUUUUGUUGUUCUCAAGCCAGCACUCUAUUCCAAGCCAGCACUCUAUUUCAU